GUUCCAUGUGAGGAGGAACUGACGCCUCUUGCCAACAGCCCCAGUACAGACUUGCCAGCCACGUGUGAGUGUUGCGGGUUGAACUGCACCCCUCAGGAGUUCACAUAUUGAAGUUCUAACGCCCAGUACUUCAGAGUGGGACUCUACAUGGAGGAUAUGACUGGUGUCCUUAAAGAGGACGUCUGGACAGAUCCGCACACAGAGGGGAGACCAGGUGGAGAUGUCAGAAGACUAGCCAUCUACAAACCAAGGAGAAAGGCCUCCGAAGAAACCAACCCUGCCAACCCCUGGAUCUCACACUUCCUGCUUCAGAACUCUGACUGCCACCCCAUGAGACUGCGAGCCCACACCACCCAGUUACACCGGUGCUAAAUUCCUGACCCACAGGAGCUGUGUGAGCUGGUAAAUGUUUGAUCCUAUUUUAAAUCAACUAAGCUUUGGGGUAUGUAGUGUAGAAAAAUACAGGAGAUUAAAGGGGACAAUAUGGGAGAUUAAAAGGAACAAUUAAAUUAAUCAUACUUAAUUCUACUUAAUUGGUAAGCUUGGGAAAAUAUAAGCAUAUUUUCAAAAAAGUUCCUAGAGAGUGAGAUUAAUAAAUAAGUUUAUUUAGGUGUAAAAAAUGCUUGAAAUCCAUGCAGAGGAGAAUUCUUCAAAAAGUUCAUGGAAAAUGUGUAUCAUGGGAAAACUAUGCAUGGAUUUCAAGACUUUUUAUGCACUAAAACAUCUUUUAAUUUUUUAAAUGUUUUUAAUUUCAUUUCCUAUGAACCUUUCGAGGUACCCUCAUACUAUAUGCCAUUCAGAACUCAAUUUGACAUUAUGAAGAACUGAUUUGGCUGGCGCUGCAGCUCAAUAGGCUGCCUGUGGCACCGGCACCCCGGGUUCUAGUCCCGGUUGGGGCACUGGAUUCUGUCCCGGUUGCUCCUCUUCCAGUCCAGCUCUCUGCUGUGGCCCGGGAGUGCAGUGGAGGAUGGCCCAAGUGCUCGGGCUCUGCACCCACAUGGGAGACCAGGAGGAAGCACCUGGCUCCUGGCUUCAGAUCGGCGCAGCACGCCAGCCAUAGUG